CAGAUCUUGAGGCUUGACAAAAUCUCUCUCACUUUUGAACAGGGAAAAAUGAACCAGCUCCACAGAUACAAUACCUGCGGUGUGAAGGAUGUGCAGUCUAUGGAGGCAGUUUCUACAUCUCUAAAUGAGGGAAUCGUCUCUAUCUAUAACAUCUGCAAGUCCCUCAAGGAAGCACGUAUCAAUCCCACCACUGACACAUGCUCCAAUUACAACCAAA